AUAUCAAUAAGCGGAGGAAAAGAAACUAACAAGGAUUCCCCUAGUAACUGCGAGUGAAGCGGGAAGAGCUCAAAUUUGAAAUCUCCUUCGGGCGAGUUGUAAACUGGAGAAGCGUUAUCAGACGUUGACCGCACUAAAGUCUCCUGGAAUGGAGUGUCAUAGAGGGUGAGAAUCCCGUGCUUGGUGCGAUUGCGGCGUUGUAGAGGCGUUUUCUAUGAGUCGAGUUGUUUGGGAAUGCAGCUCAAAAUGGGUGGUAAACUCCAUCUAAAGCUAAAUACUGGCGAGAGACCGAU
rnacentral:rRNA from 1 species